CUACGUGCCAGCAGCCGCGGUAAUACGGAAGGUCCAGGCGUUAUCCGGAUUUAUUGGGUUUAAAGGGAGCGUAGGCGGACGAUUAAGUCAGCUGUGAAAGUUUGCGGCUCAACCGUAAAAUUGCAGUUGAAACUGGUUGUCUUGAGUGCACGCAGGGAUGUUGGAAUUCAUGGUGUAGCGGUGAAAUGCUUAGAUAUCAUGAAGAACUCCGAUCGCGAAGGCAUAUGUCUGGAGUGCAACUGACGCUGAGGCUCGAAAGUGCGGGUAUCGAACAGGAUUAGAUACCCUGGUAGUCCGCACAGUAAACGAUGAAUACUCGCAGUGUGCGAUAUACUGUAUGCUGCCAAGUGAAAACGUUAAGUAUUCCACCUGGGGAGUACGCCGGCAACGGUGAAACUCAAAGGAAUUGACGGGGGCCCGCACAAGCGGAGGAACAUGUGGUUUAAUUCGAUGAUACGCGAGGAACCUUACCCGGGCU
rnacentral:rRNA from 1 species